rnacentral:lncRNA from 1 species
AUGCCUUCCACCCGCAGUAGAAGUUCAUCCGUGUGCAGAAAGAGGGCACGAGAAGAGUCGUCUGAUCAGUGCAAUGAUCAUUCUCACAUGAAACUGAUAGCAAACUUAAAACGUGAAAUUCUGGAGCUCAAGAGGACACUGGAUCUGCAGUGUGACCAAAGGAAUGAAGCUCUACAUGACAGAGUGGGUUUUAACGUGAAUCGUGAGAGAGGGGAACACUCAAAAGCGGACGACGCUUCCAUUUACGCUGUGAGCGAAGCUCACAGGCAUACAUUGAAUGAACUCGAACUGUGCCAAAAGGAGCUGGAGAACACGAGGGAGGCUCUCCAGGAAGCCUGCGAAGAACGAGAAGCCUUAAGAAUAAGGUUGUCGGUGAGCCAGACUACCGCCGCUGUCACAGAGCCCGGGGGAGCAGCCCUAGGGGCGCCCGCGGAUGAGUUUCACCCUCAUUUAGACUGGGUGGGGAAACAUUAUCUCGCAGUGUCCCUGCCGGAGGAUCGCAUGUUCAGACCGGGUCAAUGUGUUACUCCGGCGGGCGUGUUACAGAAGCUGUUUGAGAUGAGGAUAGGCGAUAAACUGGCCACUGGGUUCAGCGUGCUUUUGGAGAACAUAAACAUCAUGCUCUCUCAACUGGAGCCCGAGUGGUACGCCAAACACUUUGGAUUCUGCAGAGCCUACGUGCACGGCAACCAAUACAAAUCCACGGACAGGGUGGACACCGAGGACUUUGCCUGGCUUCUGUUUGAGUACAGGGCGCACUCUCCGCUGAUUGAAGUGCUAACAGGGCUGCUGAACGUGAUGAACAGCACAGGCAAGGGAGGAGUGACAAUAGCGGCCCUACACACGAGCAAGAGUGUGUACAGCUCUUACGUCACGCUGUUCAGAGACACGGUGUCCAGAGCCUACGAGAGUUUUGUACGCGUGCGAGAGAGAGCUCGGAAGGUCAGGGAGACUCUAGGUGUCGUGUAUGUGCCUCUCACGUCGGGCUUGGGCGCGGAUCAGAGUGACUCUCAAGGAGAUUCUGGACGUGUCAGAAGCGUAGUCUUACGCUCUGUACUGGAAGGGAUUGAGGCCCCCCGUCACAAGAGUGGCGUUUCAGCAAAAGCGAAAGCGGCAGAUGGCGACGUGUUGUCUCGCCAACGGGACCCGCUCAAUUUGGAGCAUUCCCUCUCAGUGUUCAUGAAACGCAGAGGCCUGGAAGAUCAGGACAAAGAGGGGAGGUCUUCUGUUAGUUGGACUAACUGGCAACAAGGGUCAACGUCCCAACUCAGAGCCGGGGCCUCUUCAAAAGCGUGUGUUGUUCGAUUCAACCUGGUCCAACAAUCAACCCGUUCUAUAGGUCUCUACAAAUAG